rnacentral:lncRNA from 1 species
GUUCUUCAUUGGUUUUCCCCUCUCUCUUGGAAGGUAAUUAGCAAGUCAUGGAAGGCUGUUCCUGAGCCUGAAAAACAGCCAUUAGAAGGGAAGAAAGCUGCUGCAAGUAAGGAGAAAAUCUGUCCAAAUUUCCGGCCGAACACAGGUUGUAUUUUUCCAUCCCCUUUUUUUCAUUGUUUUGCCUUGAAUCUUGUCUAUUGGUUGAUGUUUU